AACGAACGCUGGCGGCGGGCCUAAAACAUGCAAGUCGAACGGGUGUGGCAAUACAUCAGUGGCGCACGGGUGAGUAACGCGUGGGAACAUGCCCCUUAGUACGGGACAACGUCGGGAAACUGACGCUAAUACCGUAUAAUAUCUCCGGAUCAAAGAUUUAUCGCUGAGGGAGUGGCCCGCGUCUGAUUAGCUAGUUGGUGAGGUAAUGGCUCACCAAGGCUACGAUCAGUAGCAGGUCUGAGAGGAUGAUCUGCCACACUGGGACUGAGACACGGCCCAGACUCCUACGGGAGGCAGCAGUUAGGAAUAUCGGACAAUGGGCGAAAGCCUGACCCAGCCAUGCCGCGUGUGUGAUGAAGGCCUUAGGGUUGUAAAGCACUUUCGUUGGGGAUGAUAAUGACCGUACCCAAAGAAGAAGCACCGGCUAACUUCGUGCCAGCAGCCGCAGUAA
rnacentral:rRNA from 1 species